UACGUAGGUGGCAAGCGUUGUCCGGAAUUAUUGGGCGUAAAGAGCUCGUAGGCGGUUCGGCAAGUCGGAUGUGAAAUCUCCACGCUUAACGUGGAGGGGCCAUUCGAAACUGCUGUGACUCGAGUCCGGUAGGGGAGUGUGGAAUUCCCGGUGUAGCGGUGAAAUGCGCAGAUAUCGGGAGGAACACCAGUAGCGAAGGCGGCACUCUGGGCCGGAACUGACGCUGAGGAGCGAAAGCGUGGGGAGCGAACAGG
rnacentral:rRNA from 1 species